UACGGGGGGAGCAAGCGUUGUUCGGAUUUACUGGGCGUAAAGGGCGCGUAGGCGGCCACCGCGAGUCGAUUGUGAAAUCUCCGGGCUUAACUCGGAAAGGUCAACUGAUACUGCGGGGCUAGAGUGCGGAAGGGGCAACUGGAAUUCUCGGUGUAGCGGUGAAAUGCGUAGAUAUCGAGAGGAACACCUGCGGCGAAGGCGGGUUGCUGGGCCGACACUGACGCUGAGGCGCGAAAGCCAGGGGAGCGAACGGG
rnacentral:rRNA from 1 species